CUAUCUAGAAACAGUUGUUUUUGUUUUCUUUCUGAAAGCUAUCUAGAAACAGUUGUUUUUGUUUUCUUUCUGAAAGCUAUCUAGAAACAGUUGUUUUUUUUGGAAAGUUUAUUUUCGAAAAAAACGAAACAAGUAUUAACAGUAUUUGCAGACACGGAAGACUGGGGGUUCAGGGGGGAUUGUGUUUUGGUUAAAUCAAUACAUUUGGAUGCACUUCAGACACAACAGAUUGAGUGUAAACAACUUUGCUCAGAUAACAAGGAUUUGCCCAGUGAUGUAUUCACAGGUGGAUAUUUUAACGAUGUUCCAUAAAAUGUUUCAUGUUGGAUUAUAAUUAUAAUUCCUUAUUUUCCUGAGACUGAAAGUAGAUCCUUGUUUGACUAUAGUAGAUUGCCAUGAUAAGAUUCCUAUAUAGGAUCAGCCUUAUAGGAUCCUACACCACAGCUCUUUGGGACACGGAAAUGGGCAUUCCAUUGUACUGGUACAGUAGUAUUCCGAUCUGCAUGUCCCUAUGUGUUCAAACCACCGACCUUCCAGAAGAUUCAACUAUGCAUUGAAUUAGUGUUGCAACGAGGACGACCACCUUAAAAAAAUACAGGUCGACAAAUGCCCUCGUAGCGUUUACCUGAUGUGGUAUCUAAAAACUAUAAAUAUUAUUUUGUAAGCGUAGUUAAAUGGUAAGAUUUGAAUCUUUCACUGUUUUUAUGACCUGAGCAUGAACCCUAUUAGAAAACUAGUACCGAGGAGGAGGGGCAUGUUAUAGUACUAUCAGCCCUAUUUUCUGGCUUGUUGGCAUAGUAGGCGCUGCUCCCCUUUUAAAACUACCCAGAUGGGUAUAGAGACCCUCCUGCUGUCCACCCAUGCACCUCUAUCCCCUCCUCAACCAGAUGAUGUGCCCUCCCCUCACUGGCUGUCCCACUUUGAGAGCCAGACCAUAGAGAUGCACUGUUCAUACUAUAAAGAUAAAGAUGAGACGUAGGGUAAAAAUAACUUCAAAGUAGAGAUCUUUCACGGCGUGCUUAGGAGUUAGACACUUCUUAGGCCGCUAGAGUCUAGAUUGAGUGUUCAUCCCUUGCUACGUACCCUGAAGUGCUGAUGACUAUAUUUCUUAACGUGGGAAGUGUUUUUUGAUGACUCAGUAGUAUAAGAUAAGUAUGAAGUCUUUUCUUUGCCACUAGUCCAUCCGCCUGUCCGGCAACUAGCUGGACACCACUGCAUGAAGAGGCAGCUUGCAGGCUGGGUUCAAGGGGGAGUGGAGAGGGGUGGGCUGAGUGGUACGACGUCUGGGUUUGUACAAUUAGAUUGACGGGGACGGGGACGGGCAAUGACCUUGGCUCUACUCACUGAAUGUACACAGGCCCCACUGUUGACCCUCCCUCCUAGUCCACCCCGAAACGUCCUCUAAUGCACUGACCCAGGUUAGAGGUCAACAGAGCCAAGCACAUCCCUCCAUGUCACAGAGGAGAUACCACUUCAGAAGCAGGGAGGAAGGACAGAGUUAGCUCUUCGCUGUAUCUAUCCCCUUAGUGUAAAUGCAUUCUGGCAACGCUAACCUUAGACUCUCCCCUUGCUUCCAUCCCUCCAACCCUGGUCCUGUGAAGGCUCUUCCCCUCUGUAAAUAAACACUAGUCCUGUCGAUGGUAUGAGCCAAUUGUUUGUAUAGUACGGACCACAUCCAGAAUUGUCAAACUAAAAGUCCUCUCUCGUCAAGGCGUGGCUUACUGGAAUGUGUUGUAUUUGUUUUUCAAGAAAAAUAAGAAACCCACAAUGGGGGGAGAAAAAAAAAAACGAUCUCUGAAAUGUUCUUCAACAGUUUGUAUUGCAAAUGUAGUAACUAAGCACCAUGAAGGCCAACUAACUAACUCUUCAGUGUAAAUAUAAAGAAAGUUGCUAAUAACUUUAGACGAUAAGUAAACAGAGUGACACACACGUAGACUAGUUAACUUGUGAUAUGUGUUGCGCAUAUUAUUGUGUUUAUUUUCUCUCUCUCUAUUUUACUACCCUGUAAAAGAAACGAAACACAAAAAAAAAUUAUAUUGAAAAAAAUGUUUCUAUCCUUCUGUAACUUUUUUUUCUGUGCUUUAUCUUGUGCAUUUGCGCAAAGAAUGCCUCUCUGUCCAUAUGAGCAAAUGAUUAUAAAUAUUAUGUGUGUGUGUACGUCCGUCCGCUGCUGAAUUAAUCCUCUCUCGUGCUGUAAUAUCUUUCUUAUGAAAUGCUUAGACCUCCUGCGCUCCUCCCGGUGUUUAGUCUCUUCAUUUUUAUGCUAAUAUUUAUAUUGCUGUUUUAUUUUCUCUUGAACACUGCCAUUUCAAAUAAAAGGCUCUGAAAUCAUUAAAACGCUCAUCUUCCGUCUUCUCUAAACAUCCGUCUUGGUUUGUACGGUAACUAAAACACAAUCACUUUAUUUUUCCCAAGGGAACUUAAAGGUGGGG
ensembl:lncRNA